ensembl:lncRNA
AUUACUCAGCCAGGUGUGGUGGUGCAUGCCUGUAAUCCCAGCACUUGGGAGGCUGAAGCAAGAGGAUCGCUGAGAGUUUGAGGCCAGCCUGAGCUAUGUAGUGAGUUCAAGCCCAGUCUGAAUUACAGAACAAGACCUUGUCUCACCACCCCUCCCUCCAAAGAGAUGACAUUACUCAAUCUGGGGGAGAGAUUGGGAAUAAAUUUGUGACAAAUAUAUAGAAAGCUAAACUAAUAAAACUAAAAUGAUUUUUUUAGCCCUAGGAAGAAAAUUUAGCAGGAAAGGGCAAAUAAUUAUUGUACACUCAUGACUUGGCUUUGAAGAGUAUUUAUAUAUUAAUGUCAUGAGGUGAGUAGGCUUCCUCUACUACGAUGUGCUGCCUCAUCACAGGCCAGAAGCAAUGGGGCCAACUGACCAUGAAGUGAAACCUACAAAAUGGCCAAUGGUUUUACCCGUGGUUUUCAAGAACAGCCACUCCUUUUACGGAUCACCAAUUCAGUCCCUAUGGUUGUAAAAAAAUCUGUCAAAGCCAACACAAGAUUGUUUGAGGAUUUUAUGAGCCUUUCAUUGGGAUUAACUCAAUGAACAGGAAACAGACUAC